rnacentral:rRNA from 1 species
UACGAAGGGGGCUAGCGUUGUCCGGAAUCACUGGGCGUAAAGCGCACGUAGGCGGCUUUUUAAGUCAGGGGUGAAAUCCUGGAGCUCAACUCCAGAACUGCCUUUGAUACUGAGAAGCUUGAGUCCGGGAGAGGUGAGUGGAACUGCGAGUGUAGAGGUGAAAUUCGUAGAUAUUCGCAGGAACACCAGUGGCGAAGGCGGCUCACUGGCCCGGUACUGACGCUGAGGUGCGAAAGCGUGGGGAGCAAACAGG